rnacentral:rRNA from 1 species
UGUUCCCAUACCGAACACAGAAGUUAAGCCUCAGCACGCUGAAGGUACUUGGCUGGAAACGGCCCGGGAGAUUAGGUCGUCGCCGGAU